rnacentral:rRNA from 1 species
UUAAGUUAUUAAGGGCGCACGGUGGAUGCCUUGGCACUAGAAGCCGAUGAAGGACGUUACUAACGACGAUAUGCUUUGGGGAGCUGUAAGUAAGCUUUGAUCCAGAGAUUUCCGAAUGGGGAAACCCAGCAUGAGUUAUGUCAUGUUAUCGAUAUGUGAAUACAUAGCAUAUCAGAAGGCACACCCGGAGAACUGAAACAUCUUAGUACCCGGAGGAAGAGAAAGAAAAUUCGAUUCCCUUAGUAGCGGCGAGCGAAACGGGAAGAGCCCAAACCAACAAGCUUGCUUGUUGGGGUUGUAGGACACUCUAUACGGAGUUACAAAGGACGACAUUAGACGAAUCAUCUGGAAAGAUGAAUCAAAGAAGGUAAUAAUCCUGUAGUCGAAAAUGUUGUCUCUCUUGAGUGGAUCCUGAGUACGACGGAGCACGUGAAAUUCCGUCGGAAUCUGGGAGGACCAUCUCCUAAGGCUAAAUACUCUCUAGUGACCGAUAGUGAACCAGUACCGUGAGGGAAAGGUGAAAAGCACCCCGGAAGGGGAGUGAAAUAGAACCUGAAACCGUGUGCUUACAAGUAGUCAGAGCCCGUUAAUGGGUGAUGGCGUGCCUUUUGUAGAAUGAACCGGCGAGUUACGAUUUGAUGCAAGGUUAAGCAGUAAAUGUGGAGCCGUAGCGAAAGCGAGUCUGAAUAGGGCGUUUAGUAUUUGGUCGUAGACCCGAAACCAGGUGAUCUACCCUUGGUCAGGUUGAAGUUCAGGUAACACUGAAUGGAGGACCGAACCGACUUACGUUGAAAAGUGAGCGGAUGAACUGAGGGUAGCGGAGAAAUUCCAAUCGAACCUGGAGAUAGCUGGUUCUCUCCGAAAUAGCUUUAGGGCUAGCCUCAAGUGAUGAUUAUUGGAGGUAGAGCACUGUUUGGACGAGGGGCCCCUCUCGGGUUACCGAAUUCAGACAAACUCCGAAUGCCAAUUAAUUUAACUUGGGAGUCAGAACAUGGGUGAUAAGGUCCGUGUUCGAAAGGGAAACAGCCCAGACCACCAGCUAAGGUCCCAAAAUAUAUGUUAAGUGGAAAAGGAUGUGGCGUUGCCCAGACAACUAGGAUGUUGGCUUAGAAGCAGCCAUCAUUUAAAGAGUGCGUAAUAGCUCACUAGUCGAGUGACACUGCGCCGAAAAUGUACCGGGGCUAAACAUAUUACCGAAGCUGUGGAUUGUCCUUUGGACAAUGGUAGGAGAGCGUUCUAAGGGCGUUGAAGCAUGAUCGUAAGGACAUGUGGAGCGCUUAGAAGUGAGAAUGCCGGUGUGAGUAGCGAAAGACGGGUGAGAAUCCCGUCCACCGAUUGACUAAGGUUUCCAGAGGAAGGCUCGUCCGCUCUGGGUUAGUCGGGUCCUAAGCUGAGGCCGACAGGCGUAGGCGAUGGAUAACAGGUUGAUAUUCCUGUACCACCUAUAAUCGUUUUAAUCGAUGGGGGGACGCAGUAGGAUAGGCGAAGCGUGCGAUUGGAUUGCACGUCUAAGCAGUAAGGCUGAGUAUUAGGCAAAUCCGGUACUCGUUAAGGCUGAGCUGUGAUGGGGAGAAGACAUUGNNNNNNNNNNNNNNNNNNNNNNNNNNNNGUCUUCGAGUCGUUGAUUUCACACUGCCGAGAAAAGCCUCUAGAUAGAAAAUAGGUGCCCGUACCGCAAACCGACACAGGUAGUCAAGAUGAGAAUUCUAAGGUGAGCGAGCGAACUCUCGUUAAGGAACUCGGCAAAAUGACCCCGUAACUUCGGGAGAAGGGGUGCUCUUUAGGGUUAACGCCCAGAAGAGCCGCAGUGAAUAGGCCCAAGCGACUGUUUAUCAAAAACACAGGUCUCUGCUAAACCGUAAGGUGAUGUAUAGGGGCUGACGCCUGCCCGGUGCUGGAAGGUUAAGAGGAGUGGUUAGCUUCUGCGAAGCUACGAAUCGAAGCCCCAGUAAACGGCGGCCGUAACUAUAACGGUCCUAAGGUAGCGAAAUUCCUUGUCGGGUAAGUUCCGACCCGCACGAAAGGCGUAACGAUUUGGGCACUGUCUCAACGAGAGACUCGGUGAAAUCAUAGUACCUGUGAAGAUGCAGGUUACCCGCGACAGGACGGAAAGACCCCGUGGAGCUUUACUGUAGCCUGAUAUUGAAAUUCGGCACAGCUUGUACAGGAUAGGUAGGAGCCUUUGAAACGUGAGCGCUAGCUUACGUGGAGGCGCUGGUGGGAUACUACCCUAGCUGUGUUGGCUUUCUAACCCGCACCACUUAUCGUGGUGGGAGACAGUGUCAGGCGGGCAGUUUGACUGGGGCGGUCGCCUCCUAAAAGGUAACGGAGGCGCUCAAAGGUUCCCUCAGAAUGGUUGGAAAUCAUUCAUAGAGUGUAAAGGCAUAAGGGAGCUUGACUGCGAGACCUACAAGUCGAGCAGGGUCGAAAGACGGACUUAGUGAUCCGGUGGUUCCGCAUGGAAGGGCCAUCGCUCAACGGAUAAAAGCUACCCCGGGGAUAACAGGCUUAUCUCCCCCAAGAGUUCACAUCGACGGGGAGGUUUGGCACCUCGAUGUCGGCUCAUCGCAUCCUGGGGCUGUAGUCGGUCCCAAGGGUUGGGCUGUUCGCCCAUUAAAGCGGUACGCGAGCUGGGUUCAGAACGUCGUGAGACAGUUCGGUCCCUAUCCGUCGUGGGCGUAGGAAAUUUGAGAGGAGCUGUCCUUAGUACGAGAGGACCGGGAUGGACAUACCUCUGGUGUACCAGUUGUCGUGCCAACGGCAUAGCUGGGUAGCUAUGUGUGGACGGGAUAAGUGCUGAAAGCAUCUAAGCAUGAAGCCCCCCUCAAGAUGAGAUUUCCCAACUUCGGUUAUAAGAUCCCUCAAAGAUGAUGAGGUUAAUAGGUUCGAGGUGGAAG